GGCUGCGAUCAUACCAGCACUAAUGCACUAGAUCCCAUCAGAACUCUGCAGCUAAGCAUGGUUGGGCGAGAGUAGUACUAGGAUGGGUGACCUCCCGGGAAGUCCUCGUGUUGCACCCCUUU
rnacentral:rRNA from 1 species